rnacentral:rRNA from 1 species
UACGUAGGGGGCAAGCGUUGUCCGGAAUCAUUGGGCGUAAAGAGCGUGUAGGCGGUCCGUUAAGUCGGCUGUGAAAGUCCAAGGCUCAACCUUGGGAUGCCGGUCGAUACUGCCGGACUAGAGUUCGGAAGAGGCGAGUGGAAUUCCCGGUGUAGCGGUGAAAUGCGCAGAUAUCAGGAAGAACACCAAUGGCGAAGGCAGCUCGCUGGGACGCGACUGACGCUGAGACGCGAAAGCGUGGGGAGCAAACAGG